ensembl:lncRNA
GGAGGAAACGUCAGGCAUGACCGGCCCCAGGCAGGUAGCACGGAGAGCCAGUCCUGCAGGAACAUGGACCUAAGGAGGGGGAGCACAGCUCAGAAACAGAAAGACUUUCAAACUGAAGAGGGAUUGGGGCCGGCUUAAUUAAUUCAUUAAGUGAAAGCUAAAUCCUGUUAGUGCCUGUCUACUGCUGAAUGGUUCACAAGAAGUCUCUCUGGACUAAGGAAAAGAUAGGAGAAAAUCUCCUGCUGGGAGCCCGCGGACAGACAAUUGUUUGGUUCACUACCGAAUUUAUCUCUUGGCGCAAGAGAAAAAAGUACCUUGACCCCGACGUGAUUUGAACACGCAACCUUCUGAUCUGGAGUCAGACGCGCUACCGUUGCGCCACGAGGUCCUGGUGGUGGCUCCUCCUGUAAUGCCUUAGGGGGACAACUUCAGAGGUUGUCAGGUGUGAGUUCUGUUCUGCUUUUGUUUUCUUUUACUGCUCUUACUACCAUUUAGGAAUGACUGUAAGCUCCUUGUCCCUUUUAUGAGUCUAUUCAAAG